rnacentral:rRNA from 1 species
UGGGGAAUAUUGCGCUAAAGCGCGAAAGCGUGACGCAGCGACGCCGCGUGGGGGAUGAAGGCCCUCGGGUCGUAAACCCCUUUCGGCAGGGACGAAGCGAGAGUGACGGUACCUGCAGAAGAAGUCCCGGCUAACUACGUGCCAGCAGCCGCGGUAACACGUAGGGGACGAGCGUUGUCCGGAUUCAUUGGGCGUAAAGCGCGCGUAGGCGGCCCGAAAAGUCGGUUGUGAAAUCCCGGGGCUCAACCCCGGGACCGCGUCCGAAACUUCCGAGCUCGAGGCAGGUAGGGGAGAUCGGAAUUCCUGGUGUAGCGGUGAAAUGCGCAGAUAUCAGGAGGAACACCGGUGGCGAAGGCGGAUCUCUGGGCCUUGCCUGACGCUGAGGCGCGAAAGCUAGGGGAGCGAACAGGAUUAGAUACCCUGGUAGUCCUAGCCGUAAACGUUGGGUGCUAGGUGUGGGCGGACAUCGACCCCGUCCGUGCCGAAGCUAACGCAUUAAGCACCCCGCCUGGGGAGUACGGCCGCAAGGCUA